CAAGCUAGAAAGAAAACUCAUCUCUGACUGCAAACGGAGGUUUCCAUCCUGAAGCAGAGCUCCUGUCGGGAGUUUCUACGUUACUUUGGGAAUUAUCUUCAACCUGAGUGAUUCUACAUAGACAAGGUCUCUCUCUGGCACCCAGGCUGAAGUGCAGUGGUACGAUUACAACUCUCUAUAACCUUGAACUCCUGGGCUCAAGCAAUCCUCCUGCCUCAGCUUCCUGAAGAGCUACUGCCAUGGCUAGCUGUUUGUUGUUGUUGUUUUUAAAUGGAUGGAGUUUCACUAUGUUGCCCGGGCUGAUCCUGAACUCCUGGCCUCAAGCAAUCCUCCCGCCGUGGACGCCCAAAUUGCUGGGAUUAGAGGGUUUCACUCAUUGGCCAGGCUGGAGUGCAAUGGCACGAUCUCAGCUCACUGCAACCUCUGCCUCCUGGGUUCAAGCAAUUCUCCCACCUCAGCCUCCCCAGCAGCUGGAAUUACAGGCGCCCACCACCGUACCCAGCUAAUUUUUGUAUUUUUAGUAGAGACGGGGUUUUGCCAUGUUGGUCAGGCUGGUCUCGAACUCCUGACCUCAGGUGAUCCACCCACCUCGGCCUCCGAAAGUGUUGGGAUUACAGGUGUGAGCCACUGCAUUCGGCCUGAAUGACUAUGUUUAAUGAAGGCAAUCUUAACACCUCCAGGACAAGAUUCUUCCAACAGUGUACUAAAAGAAUGAAGUUGCCCUUGACUUAAAAAUCAACAGGGCACCACGUUGGGGCAACUAAAUUUUCAUGACACAAUGUGUUUCUAGCACCUGAAAGGUUGAGAAAUUAGCCUGCUGCCUCUUGGCCUGACAAAACUCUCAAUCUUGGUUCAAAAAAAUAAGAAUGGCUCUCUCAUUGUAACAUAAGAAGUUCGUAGUUCCUACUCUACUAGAUAGUCAUAUAAGUGCUUCAUUUCCCAAAAGUUAAUGUUCUUCAUGAGAACUUUAUAAAGGAAGGCCUGGUGGUCAUCAAGCAGUUCUAUGGAGUGCUGACUCAAUUUUAAUAUGGUUUUCAAAAAGUGAAGGUAAACUAUGUGCCCAUUUGUGGCCACAGUCAGUGGCUGCCUUGUGGUUUCUUCCAUAUUUGGAUCUGGGUUUGGCAGGUGGAGGCAGAUCUACCUGCUUCUGCUGGCAGCUCCAAGCCAGCCCAUGCAUAAUUUACUCAAACGGAUGGAACAAGCCCAUUAGGGACACAUCUUGGCCUGUUUCCCCUGGUUCAUCAUCAAAUUUGCUCUGUUUUGAUCUCAAUGGCCCUGUAAUCCUCCCCCUUUGAUAUCCACGAAGCUGGUAUGUGUCAGAUAACACAUGAGACAUCUGGUGGUGGACAGACCAAGGCCCUUCUGAAGAAUAAAGUGAGGCUUCAAACCAGCCAACGAGCCAGGAUGGGAAAAAGCUCCUAAACUAGAUUAUAAACAUGAGGAAAACAGCCCAUACCGAGGUAGGUCAAAAGACAUGAAACUGACCAGGUAGUCCAUUUUUAAAACCCAGUCCAUCAUCCUGUCCCCAUCAAGCUCUGAGAUGAAACAGUUCCCUGAACAUGUGCCUCCUUUGAUCUUGGGCGUCUCACAUUUUUCAUUAUUAAAAGAUUGAGAAUGACAUAUUGUAAUGCAUUUUGU
rnacentral:lncRNA from 1 species